CUGCUACUGAAGAAGGAUCUCUCUCUGGAGAUUGCUCUUUGUGGAGUUUCUUGUGAGCCUACAGUAUUGUUCACUGAUUUUUGAAGGAGCAAAAAUACUGUAAAAUGUCAAGAGAGGUGUGACAACUGAAACUACUAAGAUUGUUAGCAAAGAUGAGAAUCAAUUUUAUUAACACCAGCUGCCACUUAGAUGUCUUCAGACAGUUUAAGAAAAGAGCAAUGCAUUUGCUGAUGUGAUGCAGAACUUAAAGAAGGCCAAUGUUCACAUGAAUAAACACCUGGAGCUUCCAUAAAUAUCUUCAGUUUUAAUGAAGAUUAGGUGUGACAAAGCUAUAUGGAGUAAUGGAAGUACCAGGAAGAAAUUGCUUUUUGAAAAUGAAAAGCUUUUUAAAAAGUCACAAUAGGACUGAGAGAGCCGUGAGUGCAUUUUCUACCCUAACAUUUUGGCAUUACUCUAUGGAGCCUUCUGCUAUCAGCAAGGAAAGAAAAAUUGCAGUUGACAUCUACACCUGGCAUUUGUCUCCAUUAAUGCUUAGUGCAGGGACUGUGUUCACUUGGCUUCAUCUCUACCUGUCAGAUACUUUGCUUUCUAGGAGGAAAGAGAACAGGGAGAAACCAAGCAGAUUUCCUAAUGUGAAUCAGUUUUCUUAUAGAAGCUGUAGCCAAGGGUCGAAUCUGCAUCCCUGGGGAAGAAACCACAACAUUAUGGCCUUGUUCGUCACAUCUUGUUCAAGUCUGCUCUUCUAUCCACUCAUCUGUCUCCUGCACAAAAUUCUUCUGCCUGCCUUUUUAUUUCAGGAGCUAGGAAACAAUUUUCAAAUUUGAAUCUUUCAAGGGUUAAAGAGAACAUGGAAAGCCUGUGGCAUGGAUGUGCUUUGAAAUGGAGAACGUAUCCCCACGUUACUGGUGCAGAAAGUAAAACAUGGCUGAAAGCCACAGAGUAAUUCUAUUAGUUACCAGAAAAAAAUGCUCCUUGGAGGAGACAUAAUGAACCCGUAAAGCUGAAAGGUGGCCCCUUAUAAGUGUUGUUUCACACUCACAGGAACAGUCCUGUGGACUGCUGGCAGUGAGCCUCUUGUCAACACAGUAGGGUGGAGACUCUGCAUUUCCUUCUAACUCAGAGCUGCUUCAUCACAUCCUUAGGGACUAUCCAUGGCUUGAUUGUGCUCAGAAGCUUUGUUCUGUAAUCUGGUCUUUUUUCUUUCACUGAAAUAGGUGUAACUCAAUGCAAAGCUAGGGCAUUAUCCCAGCUAGCUUUUAAACACGUUCAUGUGAGAGGUUAUUCAUAUAAUUCUCUUGGCAUGUUAAGUGCACAGACUGUAUGUCUGUUUACUGUAGUUCCCAGGAGUACUUCUCAGCUUCUCUGUUUGGAUACACGCUACUGCAGAAACCCACCUCAGUAGGGUUGGGGCAAUCAUCCCCACCAUUUGACAGAAUUUGACUGGGCCCAGUCCUUCAAAGGGCGUGAUCUGGUCCCCAUCUGUGGCUGAAAUUGUCCAAUGAAAGGUGAUAGUUUACUUUUUCAGCAGGGUCAGUAACAAUAUCUUUAAAAUAAAAGACAGAAUGCAGUAAAAGAAAUAAGACUCAAGUCUGUCCCAACACUGUUACUAAGUAGGAAGGCAAAAGAGUUGUUAUAGCAACAGAUGGAGGUAUUUUAUAACAAGUGCAAGCACCUGAACCUUGGAGAGCUAAUGUAACUGUUAACUGUGAGAAGGACUAAACGGUACCUUUCAGGCUUUUGUCUGCCUGAUGUGCUUACAUUUCAAGCUGACCAAAGCUCAGUGCUGUAUCACUAUAGUUGUGGUCCCAGCUUUGUUGAGGAGCCAGGCGUCUAUCAGCCCAGCCCAGGACUGCUUUAAUCAGGCCACAUGGUUCUUGGAGUUUUUCACACAUUUGGAUCACACGUGGACCAAGCCUGCAUCUGCCCACGAGGCACUGUGCAGGCGUACUGUGACUGAGUUUUCUUUUGGAAAAUAGUUCCCUGUAGUCUUGCUGUCAGUAGCAGAUCUCUAAAGAUCAGACUGCUCUGAAGCAGAGUGGCAGCUGUUAUUUGUCUCCAUGCCAUCUCUCUCCCCGAGCUCAGGGCAAGCUUAACCCACCUGUUAAUAACUCAACAUUGGCCUCCUUAGCCCAGAUUUGUGCUAGCUUUCCUGCCCCUAGCACCACUAAAAUAGUAGUUAUACAAGGGUAGGAGUUUUUCUAGCACAAACAAAACCAGGGGAAAGGAUUAGAAUCAGUCACAAAUAAGGCUUAGAUGAAUACACAUACCGCUAGAAGCCAAUCAGCUUUUUGACCUCAGGUUCAUAUUUCUGUAAACAUGUAUCUUGGCAACGCAUCAUUCAGUUUUUCAAUACGAUGCAAUGCAAGCCCUUUCUCAUUUAUCUCAGCUGUCUUGUUGUGUUAUGUUACAAAUGAUUGCUGUUAAUUCUGUGUUUAAUUGCGCUUAGCAUAAUUUAUUUGCCAUCCAGUGUUUUUAACUGUUGGACAUAACAAAAUAUGGUUCUUUUCUCUUCUGUUUCCUUCUGCUUCUCAUCUGUGGAUGCUAAAAGCAGCUGGACCUGUUCCAUGUGAAUGGAAAUAAUUAUGGG
ensembl:lncRNA